rnacentral:rRNA from 1 species
UGAUAGAAAUUUAAACCCUUUUUAAAGUAUCAAUUGGAGGGCAAGUCUGGUGCCAGCAGCCGCGGUAAUUCCAGCUCCAAUAGGGUAUAUUAAAAUUGUUGCAGUUAAAAAGCUCGUAGUUGAAGUUCUGCUAAAAGUAACCGGUCUGCUUUUAAUAAAGGUGGUAUCUUGGUGUGUAUUUAGCAAUGAUGUCCUUUGAAGUGUUUUUUACUUUAUUGUAAUAAAGCAUAUUCAGGACUUUUACUUUGAGAAAAUUAGAGUGUUUCUAGCAGGCUAACGCUUUGAAUACUGCAGCAUGGAAUAAUAAGAUAGGAUUUUAGUUCUACAUUAUUGGUUUUAAGAGCUAAAUUAAUGAUUGAUAGGGACAGUUGGGGGCAUUUGUAUUUAACUGUCAGAGGUGAAAUUCUUAGAUUUGUUAAAGACAAACUACUGCGAAAGCAUUUGCCAAAGAUGUUUUCAUUAAUCAAGAACGAAAGUUAGGGGAUCGAAGACGAUCAGAUACCGUCGUAGUCUUAACUAUAAACUAUGCCGA